AGCUGCACAGUGAAGAAGAAAGUGCAAAGAAGUGUUGAUGAUCCAUCAGUUGUGGUUGCAACAUAUGAAGGAGAGCAUAACCAUCCUCAUCCUUCGCAAACCGAGCCAACAAACAAUCGUUGUAGGAACCAAAUUAGUCCAGUAGCACCUUCUUCUUCUGCACCAAGUACAGUUACACUUGAUUGGACAAAGAAAGCACCUUCUUCUGCACCUUCUAAGAAUAUGAUGAUAAAUAAUCCCAAAAUGGAAGUACCACAGAUUUUGGUGGAACAGAUGGCUACUUCAUUGACCAAGGAUCUUAACUUCAGAGCAGCACUUGCUGCUGCUAUAUCAGGAAAAAUGUUACAC
rnacentral:lncRNA from 1 species